GAUGAACGCUGGCGGCGUGCCUAAUACAUGCAAGUCGAGCGAACAGACGAGGAGCUUGCUCCUCUGACGUUGGCGGCGGACGGGUGAGUAACACGUGGAUAACCUACCUAUAAGACUGGGAUAACUUCGGGAAACCGGAGCUAAUACCGGAUAAUAUAUUGAACCGCAUGGUUCAAUAGUGAAAGACGGUUUUGCUGUCACUUAUAGAUGGAUCCGCGCCGCAUUAGCUAGUUGGUAAGGUAACGGCUUACCAAGGCAACGAUGCGUAGCCGACCUGAGAGGGUGAUCGGCCACACUGGAACUGAGACACGGUCCAGACUCCUACGGGAGGCAGCAGUAGGGAAUCUUCCGCAAUGGGCGAAAGCCUGACGGAGCGACGCCGCGUGAGUGAUGAAGGUCUUCGGAUCGUAAAACUCUGUUAUUAGGGAAGAACAAAUGUGUAAGUAACUAUGCACGUCUUGACGGUACCUAAUCAGAAAGCCACGGCUAACUACGUG
rnacentral:rRNA from 1 species